rnacentral:lncRNA from 1 species
CCUUGGCACAUUGCCACCUUCACUGAAAUAUAGAAUAGAAGUCCCAAAGUCUCACUAACUGACCCCGCUGUACUGAAGAGGCACAGAUGUCAUGAAAAAGUAAAAGACAACUUCCCAGUGGUGAGAGAAGAGGAAGAAGAAACCAAAUGAGGACCCAAAGUUGUCAUCAACUUUGUUUCAGACUGUCAUAACAUUAUAUGCACGCAUCUCCAACAAUCGCACUGGUGAAAUAAUAGCAGCACUUAAUAAGUUUCAUGAAACUGGUUUAUGAAAUGCCAUUUAUGGGUCCAGCAUCCCAGUUCUUAUAUCUGAGCACAUAACAGAGAAAAGUAGAUGAAAUAAAUGGAAAUGGAAGUUAUAGAAGAUUAACACAUUUUUAUAGAAGAACACAUUUUUGUUCUAUACAAAGAAAAGAAAGACCCAAAAUGGACUUUUCAAGAAAAAUGGUCCAGAUGAAGCUGCAGAUCUCACAUCCCAGUUUACAGUGUUUCUUCCCAACAGAGCAGAGGCUAGUGUUGGUUUCCUUAUUUUGGCUUGGACUCCUCUCCUGUUCCAUCAGGCAAAUUAACACAAGUAAGUUAAAUCCAAGGUACUUGAAAGACAUCUGAACAGCACACAUGCACAGAGACAGGGGGAACAGUGGUGUGUGAUUGAGAG